UAAUACGUAGGUGGCAAGCGUUAUCCGGAAUUAUUGGGCGUAAAGGGCGCGUAGGCGGCUAGUCAAGUUUGACGUGAAAGCUCCUGGCUUAACUGGGAGAGGUCGUUGGAAACUGAUUAGCUUGAGGCAAUGAGAGGGGUGCGGAAUUCCCGGUGUAGUGGUGGAAUGCGUAGAUAUCGGAAGGAACACCAGUGGCGAAAGCGGCAUCCUAGCAUUGGCCUGACGCUGAAGUGCGAAAGCGUGGGGAGCGAACGGGAUUAGAUACCCCGGUAGUCCACGCUGUAAACGAUGAACACUAGAUGUGGGUGGAGUCAAAUCUAUCUGUGUCGAAGCAAACGCGAUAAGUGUUCCGCCUGGGGAGUACGGCCGCAAGGCUA
rnacentral:rRNA from 1 species